CAUGUUGGUUUAAUUCGAAGCAACGCGAAGAACCUUACCAGGUCUUGACAUCCCGAUGCUAUUUCUUAGAGAUAGAAAGUUACUUCGGUACAUCGGUGACAGGUGGUGCAUGGUUGUCGUCAGCUCGUGUCGUGAGAUGUUGGGUUAAGUCCCGCAACGAGCGCAACCCCUAUUGUUAGUUGCCAUCAUUCAGUUGGGCACUCUAGCGAGACUGCCGGUAAUAAACCGGAGGAAGGUGGGGAUGACGUCAAAUCAUCAUGCCCCUUAUGACCUGGGCUACACACGUGCUACAAUGGUUGGUACAACGAGUUGCGAGUCGGUGACGGCGAGCUAAUCUCUUAAAGCCAAUCUCAGUUCGGAUUGUAGGCUGCAACUCGCCUACAUGAAGUCGGAAUCGCUAGUAAUCGCGGAUCAGCACGCCGCGGUGAAUACGUUCCCGGGCCUU
rnacentral:rRNA from 1 species